rnacentral:rRNA from 1 species
GAUGAACGCUGGCGGCGUGCCUAAUACAUGCAAGUCGAGCGAACGGACGAGAAGCUUGCUUCUCUGAUGUUAGCGGCGGACGGGUGAGUAACACGUGGAUAACCUACCUAUAAGACUGGGAUAACUUCGGGAAACCGGAGCUAAUACCGGAUAAUAUUUUGAACCGCAUGGUUCAAAAGUGAAAGACGGUCUUGCGGUCACUUAUAGAUGGAUCCGCGCUGCAUUAGCUAGUUGGUAAGGUAACGGCUUACCAAGGCAACGAUGCAUAGCCGAUCUGAGAGGGUGAUCGGCCACACUGGAACUGAGACACGGUCCAGACUCCUACGGGAGGCAGCAGUAGGGAAUCUUCCGCAAAGGGCGAAAGCCUGACGGAGCCACGCCGCGUGGGUGAUGAUGGUCUUCGGAUCGUAAAACUCUGUUAUUAGGGAAGAACAUAUGUGUAAGUAACUGUGCACAUCUUGACGGUACCUAAUCAGAAAGCCACGGCUAACUACGUG